UACGAAGGGGGCUAGCGUUGCUCGGAAUCACUGGGCGUAAAGGGUGCGUAGGCGGGUCUUUAAGUCAGGGGUGAAAUCCUGGAGCUCAACUCCAGAACUGCCUUUGAUACUGAGGAUCUUGAGUUCGGGAGAGGUGAGUGGAACUGCGAGUGUAGAGGUGAAAUUCGUAGAUAUUCACAAGAACACCAGUGGCGAAGGCGGCUCACUGGCCCGAUACCUGACGCUGAGGCACGAAAGCGUGGGGAGCAAAGCAGGGAAGUUA
rnacentral:rRNA from 1 species